AAGAUCAACAGUUCCCAGCACGCGCGCGCCGUGUCCUUCCACGUCAAUCCUCCGGCUCGUGCUUUCAUCUCCCUCCGCCUUCAUGCCUCUGACCCUGGCGGUUCCAUAGGAGACGGUCACUGCCCUUCAGCUCAGCCCGGGGGACAUGUUUUCUUUAGAGCGGAGCAUGAGAAGUUAUUAACAGGGGAGCUUCGAGCCUAAUUACCUCGUACCAGAAACAGGACCACAAUGUUAAUGUGCAACACGCAUGGUGUUUACUUACUGGGUGUUCUGAUCAACAAGGAUUCCAAUCAAAGAAAACUAAAAAUAUGAGACACAAGUCCCUGAACAGAGGAGAACAAGCCUUGGGGCAUAUUAAUAUUCUCUCCCUUGAUAGAACAUUGUUUUGAAACAACCUCUAAUAAAGUGUACAUCUCUGUGUAGACUCUGUAACGUGUCGGUCUCGCUAACA